AGUCGAGCGAUGAACACCUUCGGGUGUGAAUUAGCGGCGAACGGGUGAGGAACACGUGAAGAAUCUGCCUUCAACUCUGGGAUAACUCCGGGAAACCGGGGCUAAUACCGGAUAUGAGCCUCGAUCGCAUGAUUGGGGCUGGAAAGUUUUUCGGUUGAAGAUGACUUCGCGGCCUAUCAGCUUGUUGGUGAGGUAAUGGCUCACCAAGGCGACGACGGGUAGCCGGCCUGAGAGGGCGACCGGCCACACUGGGACUGAGACACGGCCCAGACUCCUACGGGAGGCAGCAGUGGGGAAUAUUGGGCAAUGGAGGAAACUCUGACCCAGCGACGCCGCGUGAGGGAUGAAGGCCUUCGGGUUGUAAACCUCUUUCAGUAGGGAAGAAGCGAAAGUGACGGUACCUACAGAAGAAGCACCGGCUAACUAUGUGCCAGCAGCCGCGGUAAUACAUAGGGUGCAAGCGUUGUCCGGAAUUAUUGGGCGUAAAGAGCUCGUAGGUGGUUCGAUACGUCGGAUGUGAAAAUCAGGGGCUCAACCCCUGACCUGCAUCCGAUACGGUCGAGCUAGAGUUUGGUAGGGGAGACUGGAAUUCCUGGUGUAGCGGUGGAAUGCGCAGAUAUCAGGAGGAACACCGAUGGCGAAGGCAGGUCUCUGGGCCAAUACUGACACUGAGGAGCGAAAGCGUGGGGAGCGAACAGGAUUAGAUACCCUGGUAGUCCACGCCGUAAACGGUGGGCGCUAGUUGUGCGAACCUUCCACGGUUUGUGCGACGCAGCUAACGCAUUAAGCGCCCCGCCUGGGGAGUACGAUCGCAAGAUUAAAACUCAAAGGAAUUGACGGGGCCCCGCACAAGCAGCGGAGCAUGCGGCUUAAUUCGACGCAACGCGAAGAA
rnacentral:rRNA from 1 species